rnacentral:rRNA from 1 species
CUACGGGAUGCAGCAGUGAGGAAUUUUGCGCAAUGGGGGAAACCCUGACGCAGCAACGCCGCGUGAGUGAAGAAGGCCCUUGGGUCGUAAAGCUCUGUCAAUGGGGAAGAAGUUGUGUGGUUCGAACAGGGCCAUGCAUUGACGGUACCCAUGAAGGAAGCACCGGCUAACGCCGUGCCAGCAGCCGCGGUAAUACGGAGGGUGCAAGCGUUAUUCGGAAUUAUUGGGCGUAAAGGGCGCGUAGGCGGCCUGUUAAGUCAUUUGUGAAAUUUCGGGGCUUAACCCCGGAGCUGCAUGUGAUACUGGCAGGCUUGAGUAUGGCAGAGGAAAGCGGAAUUCCUGGUGUAGCGGUGAAAUGCGUAGAUAUCAGGAGGAACACCGGUGGCGAAGGCGGCUUUCUGGACCAAUACUGACGCUGAUGCGCGAAGGCGUGGGUAGCAAACAGGAUUAGAUACCCGUGUAGUC